rnacentral:rRNA from 1 species
UACGUAGGUGGCAAGCGUUGUCCGGAAUUAUUGGGCGUAAAGCGCGCGCAGGCGGUCCUUUAAGUCUGAUGUGAAAGCCCACGGCUCAACCGUGGAGGGUCAUUGGAAACUGGGGGACUUGAGUACAGAAGAGAAGAGUGGAAUUCCACGUAUAGCGGUGAAAUGCGUAGAGAUGUGGAGGAACACCAGUGGCGAAGGCGACUCUUUGGUCUGUAACUGACGCUGAGGCGCGAAAGCGUGGGAGCAACAGG